UACAGAGGUCCCAAGCGUUGUUCGGAUUCACUGGGCGUAAAGGGUGCGUAGGCGGUUUGACAAGUCUGAUGUGAAAUCCCGCAGCUUAACUGCGGAACUGCAUUGGAAACUGUUUGACUAGAGGAAUGGAGGGGAGACUGGAAUACUUGGUGUAGCAGUGAAAUGCGUAGAUAUCAAGUGGAACACCAGUGGCGAAGGCGGGUCUCUGGACAGUUCCUGACACUGAGACACGAAGGCCAGGGGAGCAAACGGG
rnacentral:rRNA from 1 species